CCUCUAGAAGGGAAUCCAUUGGUCAACGAAGCUGCUCCUCAGAAUGAAGGCGGGAGUCUUUGAGAAUAGCUCCUCAGCAAUUGGUUACAUUUGACGUCUUUAGUCCGGCGACCCAGACGCCAUUGGAUAAAGCCACUGCGGAGUGGGCGAGGAAAGGAGAGGAGGGCUAGCAGAUGAGUCGUGUGUGACGUUGUGGGGGGGGGUGAAGAGAUGGGUAAUUGUGACCGCAAGCUGCUGUAGAGGGCUGGGUAAGGUCAGGUGUCGAUUGGGGUGCAGAGGAAGGAGGUCAGCUGGUAGCUCAGCUGUGGGGCUCUGGAGUGUGACAAGGAAAAAUGGGCUGGCUCAAGUUUUAUGGAGCGUGACCAAAGAACAGCCUUUGAAGACUGAUCAGCAGUGUACCAGAAAUCACUGCAUGAGAUACAUCUGUCAGAGACUCCUGAAGACCAUUCCGCAUUCUGAAGCUGUAGACAUCAUACAGUGUGGACAGAAUCAGGCCUGAAUGUAGCCCCAGACCCUUUGCGUCUGCCUUUGAAUGAACUCACACUCAUGGUACAUCAGAGUGAAGGAGAAGAAAGAAUCUUUUGCUGUUGUUCUAUUCAUUCAGUUGUCAUGUUACCUUGAAAAAUAAAAGGUUUCAUCUCAGUAUUUA